CGAGGGUGCAAGCGUUAAUCGGAAUUACUGGGCGUAAAGGGCGCGUAGGUUGUUUAAUAAGUUGGAUGUAAAAUUCCCGGGGCUCAACCUGGGGGCUGUCAUCCAAGACUGUUGGACUAGAGAGCAGUAGAGGGAAGUGGAAUUUCCGGUGUAGCGGUGAAAUGCGUAGAUAUCGGAAGGAACAUCAGAGGCGAAGGCGACUUUCUGGACUGUGACUGACACUGAGGCGCGAAAGCGUGGGUAGCGAACAGGAUUAGAUACCCUGGUAGUCCACGCUGUAAACGAUGAAAACUAGCCGUUGUGAUUGUUUAGAUGACAGUGGCGCAGCUAACGCAUUAAGUUUUCCGCCUGGGGAGUACGGCCGCAAGGCUA
rnacentral:rRNA from 1 species